rnacentral:tRNA from 1 species
GCCACGGAAGGUGUGGGUGGGACACAGGCCGGUUUUGGUCUGGCCGGGAUACAGGCUUUCAUCGUUGGGCGGGCGGUUCAGGUCCACCACGUAGCGC